AACGCACCUUGCACUCCUUGGUAUUCCGAGGAGUAUGCCUGUUCGAGUAUCAUGAAACUCUCAAACCGCAUCUUUAUUGAUGUCGGGCUUGGAUUUGGACGUUGCUGGACGCGAGUUCGGCUCGUCUCGAACGUAUUAGCCGUAGAUUUCGAUUUCAGUUAAACCGUGUGAUAAUACAUCAACGCGGGCAGCCGUCAAGGCGCUGGAUCGUUAGUUCGAAGGCUUCUAAUCGUCCUUAUGGGACCGCCUUAACCGGUGUUUCAUUUUCAACUUUGGUCUCGAAUCAGGUAGGACUACCCGCUGAACUUAA
rnacentral:misc_RNA from 1 species